ACUCCUACGGGAGGCAGCAGUGGGGAAUAUUGCACAAUGGGCGCAAGCCUGAUGCAGCCAUGCCGCGUGUAUGAAGAAGGCCUUCGGGUUGUAAAGUACUUUCAGCAGUGAGGAAGGUGGGUAUGUUAAUAGCAUAUUCAUUUGACGUUAGCUGCAGAAGAAGCACCGGCUAACUCCGUGCCAGCAGCCGCGGUAAUACGGAGGGUGCGAGCGUUAAUCGGAAUUACUGGGCGUAAAGCGCAUGCAGGUGGUUUGUUAAGUCAGAUGUGAAAGCCCGGGGCUCAACCUCGGAAUUGCAUUUGAAACUGGCAAACUAGAGUACUGUAGAGGGGGGUAGAAUUUCAGGUGUAGCGGUGAAAUGCGUAGAGAUCUGAAGGAAUACCGGUGGCGAAGGCGGCCCCCUGGACAGAUACUGACACUCAGAUGCGAAAGCGUGGGGAGCAAACAGGAUUAGAUACCCCUGGUAGGCGUAG
rnacentral:rRNA from 1 species